rnacentral:rRNA from 1 species
GACAUAAUGCAACUAGCACAAUCUAAUAAUCACCACCACCACCACCACUAAACCCAGUACACGACCGUACCGCAAACCGACACUGGUGCGCGAGAUGAGUAUUCUAAGGCGCUUGAGAGAACUCAGGAGAAGGAACUCGGCAAAUUGACACCGUAACUUCGGAAGAAGGUGUGCCUUUAGUAGGUGAAGUCCCUCGCGGAUGGAGCCCAAUGAGGUUGCAAAAAAUCGGUGGCUGCGACUGUUUAUUAAAAACACAGCACUCUGCAAACACGAAAGUGGACGUAUAGGGUGUGACGCCUGCCCGGUGCUGGAAGAUUAAAUGAUGGGGUGCAAGCUCUUGAUUGAAGUCCCAGUAAACGGCGGCCGUAACAAUAACGGUCCUAAGGUAGCGAAAUUCCUUGUCGGGUAAGUUCCGACCUGCACGAAUGGCGUAACGAUGGCCACACUGUCUCCUCCUGAGACUCAGCGAAGUUGAAAUGUUUGUGAUGAUGCAAUCUCCCCGCGGAAAGACGGAAAGACCCCAUGAACCUUUACUGUAGCUUUGUAUUGGACUUUGAACAGAUCUGUGUAGGAUAGGUGGGAGGCUUUGAAGCAGGGUCGCUAGAUCUUGUGGAGCCAACGUUGAAAUACCACCCUGGUGUGUUUGAGGUUCUAACCUAGGCCCGUAAUCCGGGUUGGGGACAGUGCAUGGUAGGCAGUUUGACUGGGGCGGUCUCCUCCCAAAGUGUAACGGAGGAGUUCGAAGGUACGCUAGUUACGGUCGGACAUCGUGACGAUAGUGCAAUGGCAUAAGCGUGCUUAACUGCGAGACUGACAAGUCGAGCAGAUGCGAAAGCAGGACAUAGUGAUCCGGUGGUUCUGUAUGGAAGGGCCAUCGCUCAACGGAUAAAAGGUACUCUGGGGAUAACAGGCUGAUACCGCCCAAGAGUUCAUAUCGACGGCGGUGUUUGGCACCUCGAUGUCGGCUCAUCUCAUCCUGGGGCUGUAGCCGGUCCCAAGGGUAUGGCUGUUCGCCAUUUAAAGAGGUACGUGAGCUGGGUUUAAAACGUCGUGAGACAGUUUGGUCCCUAUCUUCCGUGGGCGCUGCAGAUUUGAGGAAGCCUGCUCCUAGUACGAGAGGACCGGAGUGGACGCACCUCUGGUGUAUCGGUUGUCACGCCAGUGGCAUUGCCGAGUAGCUAUGUGCGGAAGAGAUAACCGCUGAAAGCAUCUAAGCGGGAAACUCGUUUCAAGAUGAGAUCUGCCGGGGCCUUGAGCCCCCUGAAGAGUCGUUCAAGACCAGGACGUUGAUAGGUCGGGUGUGGAAGCGCAGUAAUGCGUUAAGCUAACCGAUACUAAUUGCUCGUGCGGCUUGACC